rnacentral:rRNA from 1 species
CGGCGGACGGGUGAGUAACGCGUAGGAAUCUGCCCAGUAGAGGGGGAUAGCCCGGGGAAACCCGGAUUAAUACCGCAUACGCCCUACGGGGGAAAGCAGGGGAUCUUCGGACCUUGCGCUAUUGGAUGAGCCUGCGUUGGAUUAGCUAGUUGGUGGGGUAAAGGCCUACCAAGGCGACGAUCCAUAGCUGGUCUGAGAGGAUGAUCAGCCACACUGGAACUGAGACACGGUCCAG